CGGGGGGGGUAAGCGUUGUUCGGAAUUACUGGGCGUAAAGGGCUCGUAGGCGGCCAACUAAGUCAGACGUGAAAUCCCUCAGCUUAACUGGGGAACUGCGUCUGAUACUGGAUGGCUUGGAUUUGGGAGAGGGAUGCGGAAUUCCAGGUGUAGCGGUGAAAUGCGUAGAUAUCUGGAGGAACACCGGUGGCGAAGGCGGCAUCCUGGACCAACAUUGACGCUGAGGAGCGAAAGCCAGGGGAGCAAACGGGAUUAGAUACCCCGGUAGUCCUGGCCCUAAACGAUGAAUGCUUGGUGUGGCGGGUAUCGAUCCCUGCCGUGCCGAAGCUAACGCAUUAAGCAUUCCGCCUGGGAGUACGGUCGCAAGGCUG
rnacentral:rRNA from 1 species